rnacentral:rRNA from 1 species
GAUGAACGCUGACAGAAUGCUUAACACAUGCAAGUCUUUGGCGAAUCUGUGCUUGCACAGGCUAGCCAAGGCGGACGGGUGAGUAACGCGUAAAGAACUUGCCCUGCAGACAGGGAUAACAGACGGAAACGACUGACAACACCUGAUACAGUUGCCGGCACGCAUGUGCCUGGCAAUGAAAAGAGAUGCUGCGGGAGAGCUUUGCGUCCUAUUAGCUUGUUGGCGGGGUAACGGCCCACCAAGGCGAUGAUAGGUAGCCGGCCUGAGAGGGUGAACGGCCACAAGGGGACUGAGAUACGGCCCUUACUCCUACGGGAGGCAGCAGUGGGGAAUAUUGGACAAUGGGGGCAACCCUGAUCCAGCAAUUCUGUGUGCACGAUGAAGGUUUUCGGAUUGUAAAGUGCUUUCAGCAGGGAAGAAGGAAGUGACGGACCUGCAGAAGAGCGCG